ACCUGUGGAGCCUGGGUGUCAUCCUGUACAUCCUGCUCAGUGGCUACCCGCCCUUCGUAGGCCACUGUGGCAGCGACUGUGGCUGGGACCGCGGGGAGGCCUGCCCUGCCUGCCAGAACAUGCUGUUUGAGAGCAUCCAGGAAGGGAAGUACGAGUUCCCCGACAAGGACUGGUCCCACAUCUCCUUCGCUGCCAAAGACCUCAUCUCCAAGCUGCUGGUGCGAGAUGCCAAGCAGAGGCUGAGCGCUGCCCAAGUUCUGCAGCACCCCUGGGUGCAGGGGGUGAGCCUUGGAGUCUGAAGGGGAGUGGGCCAGCCCAACUUGUGCUGAGCACGGGGGUUUCAGAGCAAGCAUCCAAGAAGGGUCUAGCAUUAUGACUGGGAGUGGUUCCCUGUGGGGCUUGUGAGCCCCUCCCUCCCAGCUGAGAACUCAGCCCUCCCACUCCUGUGAGACCCCACCCCUCCAGGCAGCUUGCUCUUUGAAUGCAGAAGGGUUGGGAUCCCUGAGAGGCCCCAGCCCCAGGCCAGCAUGGCUCACAUGCCUUCUGGGGACAGUCUGCAGGGGCAUAUGACAGACUGUGUGGAUGGGGUCUGCUUAUUGUGUGCACUUGGGCCAGCGUUGGCCAGGCACCUCAAGUGCCGUCUGACCACCUGGCCUCUUCUUGCAGUGUGCUCCAGAGAACACCUUACCAACACCCUUGGUUCUGCAGAGGUGAGGCUGGAAGAUCUUUCAUUUUCCUGGGGCUCUA
rnacentral:lncRNA from 1 species